CCUAAGGAUCUUAGGAUCAACGAUGGGGGAACCUAAGCCGGGGGGGAAGAGGGUCUGGCUCUCAGUCCCCGCCUCGUGGGGGGUGCCUCCCCCCUCUGUGAUGGGGGUCCUAAGAGCCAGUGGGGGAACGGGCUGGCUCUCAGUCCCUGACUCGCAGGGGGCGCCUCCCCCACCCUGCGAUGGGGGUACUAACAGCCAGGGGCGGAAGAGGGGAUAGCUCUCAGUCCCCACCCUCGUGGGGGGUGCCUCCCCCUCCUGCGAUGGGGGUCCUAAGAGCCAGGGGGGGAAGAGGGAAUGGCUCUCAGUCCCUGCCUCACGGGGGGUGCCUCCGCCCCCAGCGAUGGGGGUCCCAAGAGCAAAGGGGGGAAGAGGGGCUCGCUCUCAGUCCCCGCGUCGCGAGGGGUGCCUCCCCCCCUGCGAUGGGGGUGCAAAGAGCCAGGGGGGGAAAGGGGGAGGUUCACAGUCGCCGCCUCGGGGGGAUUGCCUCCCCCCCGCGAUGGUGGUACCAAGAGCCAGGGGGGGAAGAGGGGUUGGCUCUGAGUCCCCGCCUCGCGGGGGGUGCCUCCCCCUCCUGCGAUGGGGGUCCUCAGAGCCAGGGGGGGAAGAGGGACUGGCUCUCAGUCCCUGCCUCGUAGGGGGUGCCUCCGCCCCCAGCGAUGGGGGUCCUAAGAGCAAAGGGGGGAAGAGGGGCUCGCUCUCAGUCCCCGCGUCGCGAGGGGUGCCUCCCCCCCUUCGAUGGGGGUGCAAAGAGCCAGGGGGUAAAGGGGGAGGUUCGCAGUCCCCGCCUCGGGGGGAUUUCCUCCCCCCCUGCGAUGGUCUUCCCAAGAGCCAGGGGGGGAAGAGGGGUUGGCUCUGAGUCCCCGCCUCACGGGGGGUGCCUCCCCCCCUGCGAUGGGGGUCCCAAAAGCCAGGGGGGAAGAGAGGAUGGAUCUCAGCCAUCACAAAAUGGGGGCCCUUUAUGUUCAGGUUUUGCCCAAGAAUCAGCUUAUUUGCUUCUUGUACUAGCAGGGCAGUUGCUGCCAAGGCCCUCAAAUGGGGGGGGGGGGGCAUACUGUAGAAACCCUGUCUGUUUGUUUAGAGACGUAGGCUACGGGCCUCAGCCAGGGCCCCACAGUUUGGGUUAAAAGUCCAACUGCCAUCUUUUCUCUCUCUGACGCAUGCAAUGGAAAAGGCUUUAUCAGAUCGGGUAGCCCCAGGGCUGGGGCUGCCAGAAAUUUUCCUUUAACUAAUGAAAGACUUGCUGUUGUUGGGAUCCCCAUUUCAAAGGUUCCGGGUCUCCACCCCCUUUGUGACCUCAUACAAAGGCUUGGCUAAUACUGCAAAGUUUGGGAUCCACAGUUUACAAAACCCCACAGCUCCUAAGAAUUCUCUCACCUGCCUUCUGCCCUUAAGCUCUGGUAGAUUGCAAAUAACCUGCUUUCUUUCUGUUCCGGAGCUGGGUUCGGACCCCUCUCGUAUUGGAAAUUCCACACAAGGUACCUGCCGUCGGAGUUUUGAGCUUUCUUCUUGGACACCUCAUACCCACAGUCCUCCAGACAGAAAGACAACAGGUACAAAGCCCUAAGGAUUAUAAAGGUAUGCUGCUUACCAUCAUCUUUGUGACCAAGGCAGCGAAGCUGUUUCUGUACCUUGGAACAGUCUUCCCUGACAAGCCAGAGAACAGCGAUAAAGCCACCAGCCUUGGGAUCAGGACUGAAAAGGCAAGAGUGAUGGAGAUUUCUCCUGCGCUAAGCCAAGAGAAGGUUUCAGCACCUCAGACAGCUCCCACCGAAGUAGCCGCGCUCCCAGCUGCUUGCAGAUGUUGAAAAGGAAAGCCUCGGUUUGUCUUGAGGUUGUCAGCAGUUGCAAGACACGUAAUAAAAUGCAAUGUGUUCCUAA